ACUGCUCAGUAACACGUGGAUAACCUGCCCUGUGGUGGGAAAUAACCCCGGGAAACUGGGGAUAAUGUCCCAUAGACUACGGAUACUGGAAUGUUCUGUAGUUCAAAGAUUUAUCGCCACAGGAUGGGUCUGCGGCCGAUUAGGUAGUUGUUGGGGUAACGGCCCAACAAGCCUUUGAUCGGUACGGGUUGUGGGAGCAAGAGCCCGGAGAUGGAUUCUGAGACACGAAUCCAGGCCCUACGGGGCGCAGCAGGCGCGAAAACUUUACAAUGCGGGAAACCGUGAUAAGGGAACUCCGAGUGUCCGUAAAUGCGGACUGUCCGUAUGUUUAAAAAGCAUGCGAAGAAAGGGCCGGGCAAGACCGGUGCCAGCCGCCGCGGUAAUACCGGCGGCUCGAGUGGUGGCCACUAUUACUGGGCUUAAAGCGUUCGUAGCUGGGUUGUUAAGUUUCUUGGGAAAUCUACCGGCUUAACCGAUAGGCGUCCAAGGGAUACUGGCAAUCUAGGGACCGGGAGAGGUGAGGGGUACUUCAGGGGUAGGAGUGAAAUCCUGUAAUCCUUGGGGGACCACCUGUGGCGAAGGCGCCUCACCAGAACGGCUCCGACAGUGAGGGACGAAAGCUGGGGGAGCAAACCGGAUUAGAUACCCGGGUAGUCCCAGCCGUAAACGAUGCGCGUUAGGUGUAUCGAUGACCACGAGUCAUCGAGGUGCCGAAGGGAAACCGUGAAACGCGCCGCCUGGGAAGUACGGUCGCAAGGCUGAAACUUAAAGGAAUUGGCGGGGGAGCA
rnacentral:rRNA from 1 species